rnacentral:rRNA from 1 species
CCCUUAACCUACCCUUGACAUGGUCUGGAAUCCCGAAGAGAUUUGGGAGUGCUCGCAAGAGAGCCGGAACACAGGUGCUGCAUGGCUGUCGUCAGCUCGUGUCGUGAGAUGUUGGGUUAAGUCCCGCAACGAGCGCAACCCUUGUCAUUAGUUGCUACGAAAGGGCACUCUAAUGAGACUGCCGGUGACAAACCGGAGGAAGGUGGGGAUGACGUCAAGUCCUCAUGGCCCUUAUGGGUAGGGCUCCACACGUCAUACAAUGGUCGGGACAGAGGGUUGCCAAGCCGCGAGGUGGAGCCAAUCCCAGAAACCCGAUCGUAGUCCGGAUUGCAGUCUGCAACUCGACUGCAUGAAGUCGGAAUCGCUAGUAAUCGCGGAUCAGAAUGUCGCGGUGAAUACGUUCCCGGGUCUUGUACACACCGCCCGUCACACCAUGGGAGUGGGUUUUACCAGAAGUAGGUAGCCUAACCGUAAGGAGGGCGCUUACCACGGUAGGAUUCAUGACUGGGGUGAAGUCGUAACAAGGUAAGCGUAGUGCU